rnacentral:rRNA from 1 species
UACGUAGGGGGCAAGCGUUGUCCGGAAUCAUUGGGCGUAAAGAGCGCGCAGGCGGUCGUUCAAGUCGCGUGUGAAAGCCCCCGGCUCAACUGGGGAGGGUCACGCGAUACUGAUCGACUCGAAGGCAGGAGAGGGUAGUGGAAUUCCCGGUGUAGUGGUGAAAUGCGUAGAUAUCGGGAGGAACACCAGUGGCGAAGGCGACUACCUGGCCUGUUCUUGACGCUGAGGCGCGAAAGCUAGGGGAGCGAACGGGGAUUAAGAAAC